ACGGUCAGAUCGAUGCGAUACUGCAAUACAAUACCGCCAUUGUGUUACCUUGACUGGCAUCAGACCUAGCAGAGCGUGCGAUGUCCGUGGUAUGAUGAGGUCCAGAUGCUCACUCCAACCCCCACACCCUGAUAUUGUCCUCGCCUCAGACAAGUGCUCAACUUGGAAAAGUCGGAAAGGUGUCAGCCUCGGUGUCAAGGAUCGCUGUUCUCUACGAGCUUCUAUGCAUCGGUGGAGGGUGGGGAUGGUUUGUUGCAGUGUGGAGGUGAUUGUUUCUGUCCGGUCGAUGAUUGCAGAAGCGGCAUAACCAGGGGUACCCAAGUACCUGAACCUAGUCCAUGAAUGCACAUCUCCUCGGUGCAAGAUAAGGUUGUCAAUCUGUCAUCACAGCCAAACGACAGAUGACUACCGUACCCGUGCCUUGCCAUCUCCCCAUCCAAGAUCCGGGACUGUGGGAGAGAGAUAUCGAGUCGAGUUACCUGGCAGCCAGUGGGUGGGCUGUUGAAGAAAGGGUGUGAUACACAAUGUGGUGGGAUGCCAUGCACGUCUCGGAGUGGGUUGAACUAGGUAGGGACGGAGGCUGAUCAAUGUCUCGAUCCCAUGUGGAUUUUUAUGGGUCCUGUGUCCCGUUGGAGAAAUCCAACAAUCCAACAACAAGAACCAGAGCGAGUUUGUUGUACCAUCAAUUGGGCCUCGACGUUACUGUAAUAUUGGACGAGGCUGAGCAGCUCGGUGCAAGGCGCACGAUGUGGCUUCUGUAGAAGGACGAGAGGGAAGUGAGCCUUAUUCCGGGGUAGGGCGUAAUUGUUGCCUCGUUUGCUGGGCAUGCAUCAAUAUGCAUCGACAGAGAAAAGACCGCAGAUUCGAGAGGCCAUCACAUCAACAAGACUGGGGGAGCAAGGUCGCCACCUUCUGCCCAUAUGUUCGGGCUUUAUGCAAGGUAUUAAGUAGCGAUGCAUCAUGCAAGGCGGCAAGGCUGUUUGAUAUUUGCAAGUUAAAGAACAAACAAAACCUUUGAAGCGCGGAUGAUCCUGAGCAUGGAAAAUGCCAAACAGGAAAAAUUGGACGUAUAGACUUAGGUUCGCACUGAAUAUGGCCGAAGCAGUUCCACAUCG